rnacentral:lncRNA from 1 species
AAAAAUAGAAAGAAUUAAGUUUCUAUCUUAAACGUUAAAGAGAAAAAGAUAAGGUUUUAUUUUCAAUUCAAUAUUAGUAGAUUGAAGCCUUGAGGUGGAUAACCAAGAAAGAGGAUGUGGUACCUUAUAGAGAAGGAUCGAACCUUUAUAAAUCAUUAUAUUUGAUUUCUCUAUCCCUAUCUUUUUACUUUGAUUAUUGUUUAUAUUUGCUUCAAGUUCAUCAAUUUAUUAUUAUUUGUAUCAUAUUUUGAUAUUGGUUUUAAUCUUACAUUCAAUUAUAUUGAAAUUAUUGUAUGGAAAGAAUUUGAAGAGAUCUAAUUCACCACAUCUUAGAUCAUUAUCUUACCUAAAAAAACUAAUAGAUAUUAUUUGCUAGUCGCACUUAAAAGCCGAGUACUCUACCGUUGAGUUAGCAACCCGAAAAAAAUCGGAAUAAAAAAAAAAUGGAAUUGCACGAGGCAAUCAAAACAUGAAAUUAGCAAAAAUUUGAAUAAAAUAAAAAUACACGAAAUUCUAAGAUAAAAACAUAGAAAUAGAAUAAGUGAAAAUUUGUGGACCGCCUCCUGUCUUAUUCAUUCCAUUGUUAUCCAUUUUUUUUUC